GAAGUAACCUGCAUUUCCUUGACAUGUGACUUCCAUAGGCAAUUCACAACCUGGUGUCUGUGUUUUCUUUGAGGCCAGCCAGGUUGUCUGUCUCUGAUGUUUCACCUUCUUUUAAAGGCUACUCUGAUUAGGGCAGUCCCACCCAGUAUAAUCUGAAUAAUUGCCCUUUUGAUUAGCUGAAAGACAACAGAUUAGUAACCUAAUCAUGAGAGUAAUAUUCUACUACAUCACAAGUCAAUUCAUACUCAAGGGGAGAGAAUCAUAUAUUGUGUGCAUAUGGGGAUGGGGGGAGGCAGGCAGAGAAAGACAUCCUGGAGGCCCUUUUAGAAUCUACCUAUCACAGAGAAAUUGGUGUUUGAGCAUGCAUCAAGAAAUUGAGAGAGUGAGCCACAGGGUUACUGAGGAAAAAGCACGUCAGGCAGAGGAACAGCCCUAACAAAGGCUAUGAAAUUGAAGUAUUUUGGAAUGUUUAAACAAUAGCAGUUUUGGUGUGGGGUUGCAUAACUGAAUAGAACACUAAGGGGAUUAGAAAAUUGAAAUCAGAGACAUAAUGGAAGAUAGGUGAUUAUAUAGGCUCUUGUAGGUCAUUAUAAGGACUUCUACUUUUACUGUGAGUAAAAUUGGUAGGUGGAUGGGGCAUUUGUGGAGAAUUUUUAGCAAUUGAGUAAUAAAAUCUAACACUUUAAAUAAUUCCUUCUACAGUCUUGCUGAGAAUAAGCUGUUGAGACACAGGAUGGGAAGCUCAUCAAGUUAAAAGGCUAUUGCAACAAUUUAGGCUUCCUUCAUUGAAGACUGCCUGUGAAUUGUUCAGUCCUGCCAAGCAACACAGUAGCCACUUGGAAACUUACUGGAUGGACUUGCUAAGUUACUUACCAACUACUAAUGGUUGAUGGACUGUGGUUUGACAAUAAGGGGAAAUUUUGAUUCUAACAAUCCAGACUACAGGUGAGAAAAUUGAGGCCUACAUAACCAGAUAUUCUGAGCGAGAUCUUGCAGCUGGUGGAUGGUGAAGAUAGGUGUCAAAGCCCAAGGCUUUCUGCUCUAGGACUAAGAUAUUACUCCACUGCUCCCACAUCUUACUUCAUAUUUCCACCUUCUCUCCAGAACACCAUAUUUACAAUGUGAGGUUGAGGCUCAGAGAAAUUCAUUACAUUGUCUACAUGCACACAGGAGACUUCUGGUCAAGAUGGCAGAAUAGAAGAUCCCCAGUGUCACUCUCUCCCACAUAUCAACCAAUUGCAAUGACAGCCGAGCUGGGGCAGCUAGAACUCAGGGGAAGAGGAGGAGAGACCUACGGAGUGCAUGAAGGCAGGAGAAGCCAUGAUGAGAG